rnacentral:rRNA from 1 species
UUUUUCGGAGAGUUUGAUCCUGGCUCAGAACGAACGCUGGCGGCGUGCUUCAUACAUGCAAGUCGUACGAGAAAGUCCUGCUUCGGCGGGGCGAGUAAAGUGGCGAACGGGUGCGUAACACGUGGGUAACCUGCCUCGAAGCUGGGGAUAAGCCCUCGAAAGGGGGUCUAAUACCGAAUAACGUUGCCGGAGGGCAUCUUCCGGCGACCAAAGGUUGCCUAUAUUCAUAAGCUACCGCUUUGAGAUGGGCCCGCGGUCCAUUAGCUUGUUGGCGAGAUAAAAGCUCACCAAGGCUACGAUGGAUAGCCGGCCUGAGAGGGUGUACGGCCACACUGGGACUGAGAUA